GCUUGGUUAGUUUAAUUGAUAAAACAUUUGAUUCGUAAUCAAAAAUUACAGGUUUGAUUCCUGUACCAGGCA
rnacentral:tRNA from 1 species